UGUUUGGUUUCUAUCAAUCUG
ensembl:piRNA 21ur-1224 ncRNA